AAUGAACGUUGGCGGCGUGGAUUAGGCAUGCAAGUCGAACGGGCCUGGUUUUCGGAUCAGGCCAGUGGCGCAAGGGUGAGUAAGGCGACGGUAACCAACCCCAUGGUUGGGUAUAGCCGCGGGAAACUGCGGGUAAUCCCCAGCGACGCAGGGUGCCGGCAUCGGUGCCCUGUCAAAGUUCCGGCGCCGUGGGACGGGCCGUUGUGGUAUUAGGUAGUUGGCGGGGUAACGGCCCACCAAGCCAAUGAUGCCUACCGGGCGUGCGAGCGUGGCCCGGCACACUGGGACUGAGACACUGCCCAGACUCCUACGGGAGGCUGCAGUCGAGAAUCUUCGGCAAUGGGCGCAAGCCUGACCGAGCGACGCCGCGUGGAGGAUGAAGGCCUUCGGGUUGUAAACUCCUGUCGAGGGGGAGGAAGCCGCAAGGUUGACCGAUCCCUGGAGGAAGCACGGGCUAAGUUCGUGCCAGCCGCCGCCGUAACAC
rnacentral:rRNA from 1 species